rnacentral:rRNA from 1 species
UACAGGGGGUGCAAGCGUUGCUCGGAAUCACUGGGCGUAAAGCGUACGCAGGCGGACCGUUAAGUCGGGUGUGAAAGCCCGGGGCUCAACCCCGGAACUGCAUUCGAUACUGGCGGUCUUGAAUACGGGAGAGGUGAGUGGAAUUCCUGGUGUAGAGGUGAAAUUCGUAGAUAUCAGGAGGAACACCGGUGGCGAACGCGGCUCACUGGCCCGAUAUUGACGCUCAUGUACGAAAGCGUGGGGAGCAAACAGG